rnacentral:rRNA from 1 species
UACGAGGGGGGGCGAGCGUUGUUCGGAAUUAUUGGGCGUAAAGGGUGCGUAGGCGGUUUGGUAAGUCUUGUGUGAAAUCUUCGGGCUCAACUCGAAGUCUGCACGAGAAACUGCCGGGCUUGAGUAUGGGAGGAGGUGAGUGGAAUUCCCGGUGUAGCGGUGGAAUGCGUAGAGAUCGGGAAGAAUACCCGUGGCGAAGGCGGCCAGCUGGGCCAGGUCCGACACUGAGGCGCGAAAGCGUGGGGAGCAAACAGG